AAGUCGUAACAAGGUAACCGUAGGUGAACCUGCGGUUGGAUCAUUUGUGAUUUGAUCCCAAGUUCCGUUGUCCCUUUGGGGUGAUGGGAUUUGAAGGGAGGUAGCCCAGGCCUCCCGUUGGUUUUUUUGUGUGAAAAUGUCGUGUUUGGAUUGUUGUGAGCAGUUUUGAGUUAGUGGAUCAUGAGAGUGGUUCAUGCUGUUCAAGCUUAAGGUCCUGAGCUAGUACUGUUUCUCUGUGGUGGAUAAACAUGCCUGCGCCCUUUCCUUUUGUGGUGGAAGGAAAGAAGAUAGACCUUGGGUGCAAUUUUCCAGGUUUAAGGAAUUGACGGAAAGAGAUUUUAUGAAUUUAAAUUUUAUACAACUAUUGGCAAUGGAUCUCUUGGCUCAC
rnacentral:misc_RNA from 1 species